rnacentral:rRNA from 1 species
AUUGAACGCUGGCGGCAGGCCUAACACAUGCAAGUCGAGCGGAUGAAGGGAGCUUGCUCCUGGAUUCAGCGGCGGACGGGUGAGUAAUGCCUAGGAAUCUGCCUGGUAGUGGGGGAUAACGUCCGGAAACGGGCGCUAAUACCGCAUACGUCCUGAGGGAGAAAGUGGGGGAUCUUCGGACCUCACGCUAUCAGAUGAGCCUAGGUCGGAUUAGCUAGUUGGUGGGGUAAAGGCCUACCAAGGCGACGAUCCGUAACUGGUCUGAGAGGAUGAUCAGUCACACUGGAACUGAGACCCGGUCCAGACUCCUAAGGGAGGCAGCAGUGGGGAAUAUUGGACAAUGGGCGAAAGCCUGAUCCAGCCAUGCCGCGUGUGUGAAGAAGGUCUUCGGAUUGUAAAGCACUUUAAGUUGGGAGGAAGGGCAGUAAGUUAAUACCUUGCUGUUUUGACGUUACCAACAGAAUAAGCACCGGCUAACUUCGUG